rnacentral:rRNA from 1 species
AGAGAGAGACAUGCGCGCAUAUCAAUAAGCGGAGGAAAAGAAACUAACAAGGAUUCCCCUAGUAACGGCGAGUGAAGCGGGAAGAGCUCAAAUUUGAAAUCUUAAAGGGUUUUCCCUUUACGAAUUGUAGUUUAAAGAAGUGUUUUCUGUUGAGGUUUUGGUAAAAGUUCUUUGGAAUAGGACAUCAUAGAGGGUGAGAAUCCCGUAUUUGACCUUUACUUUCAACUUUGUGAUACACUUUCAGAGAGUCGGAUUGUUUGGGAAUGCAGUCCAAAAUGGGUGGUAAAUUUCAUCUAAAGCUAAAUAUUGGCGAGAGACCGAUAGCGAACAAGUACCGUGAGGGAAAGAUGAAAAGAACUUUGAAAAGAGAGUUAAACAGUACGUGAAAUUGUCAAAAGGGAAGCGUUUGACACCAGUGUUGUUUUUCUGAAAAUCAAUUAAAGAACUGUUUAUGCUAAGUUGUUUAGACUUUAUCAGCUAUCUGUUUAGUUUUGAGCUUUUCUUUAAUGCACUUUUCAGUUAACAAGUCAACAUCAAUUUCUUUUGCUGUAAAAAAGCUUGAGGAAGGUGGCUUGAGAUUCGUCUUAAGUGUUUAUAGCCUCUUGCCUAUGCAGUCGGAGAGAUUGAGGUCUGCAGCGUAGAUCCUUCGGGGCUAAAUGCAUUUGUGCUAAGUUAUAGCAUUUUAUAGACAACUUGUUGACUAUGAUUUGUCUUGUAGCUUACUCGCUUAUGUUAUUUUACCUACGCUUAGGAUGUUGACGCAUGAGAUAUACGC